AUUCAAAUAGCUUAAAUUUAGAGCAUGAUAUUGAAGAUAUCAAGGUAACUUAUGUUUUUGAGUA
rnacentral:tRNA from 1 species